rnacentral:lncRNA from 1 species
GGCUAGGGCCUUGGCAGCAAGGCCUAGGACAAGGAGUGGUCCUUGGUAUACAAGCUGGGCCACCUGGCCAAGGCCAUGGAAAUUACUUCCUUGGAGGGGAUCUCUCUGUUCUUGUGCCUAAGAGACUUCUGCUGAUUACUGACAUCAAUAACUGCUAUACUUCUGCCAGGAACUGCACUCCUACUUGGACAACUUGGCUAAAGUCAUCUUUGAUGCCAUCUCCAAAUCCUACAGGCUAUCUGACCCCUGAACUCUGGAAAAAGACAAUAUUCACCAAACCUCCCUCUCACAGAUUUACUGAUCAU